AAAUAUUUUUUAAAAAAUUAGAAAGGAAAAAAAUUAAAAGGCCAUAAAGGCAAAUCGCAACUCGGAUUUUGAAGAACUCCCAGCGUCCUGGCGCACAGCGCUCACACAUACCUCAAAGAGAACGUAGCCGAAGCCUUUACCCAAGCCAGUCUUUCUGUCUCUCACAAUCCGCACGGCUACCACUUCUCCACAGACAGCAAAGUGCUCUCGCACGGCAUCAUUGCUGAUGUCUGCAGGAUGCACAGAGGACCAUACAGUACUGACACAAGCUCUACACAUCAGGCUUGUUGCAAGCAUGCUGACUCCAUCAACACCCUCACGUGGACCACAGCUGAUGGUGAACCCUUCGUCUGCUCUACAGUCUACUCGGAAGGAGCUGAACAUUCAUCAAGCACUGACCUGCACCUACACACGGGUAACAACCGAUUGCCAACAGCUGCCUGGACAGAGCCACUCACCCUGGGGCUCACAGACAGUAUCAAAGUGAGUAGCCAUCACUGUGUAUCCCUUGGAAGCAGUUCACAAACAGAGAAAAUACAGCUCUGAUAGUAUCAGCUGCUGCUACAGGAAGAAUAAAAUGUGAUGAAAGGAAAGAUGCAUCUGUGGUAAAAUCUCCAAGGAUUCUUCUAAUGGCAAAAAAUACACACCCAAACCUGCUUCUCAACUAAGGAAUACUACUCUUUAAGAUCAGAAACAUAAUUUUGUUAUACAGCCUUAGAGGAAAUAACCUACCAAGGAGCGGAAUCGAAUGGAUUUUAUUUGUCCAUACUCUUUAAAAAGAGAUUUCAGCUCCUAAAGAGGGAGAUAUUAAAAAAAUUCAAUAUAUUUUUUCAUCAUGGCAAUAACAAUUAAUGUUAAACAUCUAUUAGUAAGAUGGGUUUACACUAUUUUCAUUUUACUUAUACAAGGUCCAUUAAAGGGCUACUAAAAAUACGCAAGUAAUUUGUAAUUGUUUCUGUGUUUCCUGUGGCAGUUUUCUUAUUCUGCGGAUUGCCAAAACUGAAUUUGUACCCCUUACUAUAGAAGUAUGAAUUUAACAUAAUUAAUGUAAUAAUACAAAGUGUUACUUGCAUUCAAAAUUUGAAGCAGACUUUGUAUUUGUAGAUCUCAUUUAUUAAGUAAUUUUUAAUUGAAAAAGAAACUAACCAAUUCUACUACAGAAAGAGCAACUGCAUCCACUGCUGUAAAAAGCCUAACUCCAGUAAAAUAAAAGGGAUUGCCUCUAA